rnacentral:rRNA from 1 species
CAGCCGCCGCGGUAAUACCGGCGGCCCGAGUGGCGGCCACUAUUAUUGGGCCUAAAGCGUCCGUAGCCGGGCUGGUAAGUCCCCCGGGAAAUCUGGCGGCUUAACCGUCAGAAUUCCGGGGGAUACUGCCAGCCUAGGGACCGGGAGAGGCCGGGGGUAUUCCCGGGGUAGGGGUGAAAUCCUGUAAUCCCGGGAGGACCACCUGUGGCGAAGGCGCCCGGCUGGAACGGGUCCGACGGUGAGGGACGAAGGCCAGGGGAGCAAACCGGAUUAGAUACCCGGGUAGUCCUGGCUGUAAACGAUGCGGACUUUGUGUCGGACAAGCUAUGAGCUUGUCCGGUGCCGGAGGGAAACCGUUAAGUCCGCCGCCUGGGGAGUACGGCCGCAAGGUUGAAACUUAAAGGAAUUGGCGGG